rnacentral:rRNA from 1 species
GCCUAAAGCGUCCGUAGCCGGCUCUGUAAGUUUUCGGUUAAAUCCAUAUGCUCAACAUAUGGGCCGCCGGGAAUACUGCAUAGCUAGGGAGUGGGAGAGGUAGACGGUACUCCGUAGGAAGGGGUAAAAUCCUUUGAUCUAUGGAUGACCACCUGUGGCGAAGGCGGUCUGCCAGAACACGUUCGACGGUGAGGGAUGAAAGCUGGGGGAGCAAACCGGAUUAGAUACCCGGGUAGUCCCAGCUGUAAACUAUGCAAACUCAGUGAUGCAUUGGCUUGUGGCCAGUGCAGUGCCGCAGAGAAGUCGUUAAGUUUGCCGCCUGGGAAGUACGUACGCAAGUAUGAAACUUAAAGGAAUUGGCGGGGGAGCACCACAAGGGGUGAAGCCUGCGGUUCAAUUGGAGUCAACGCCAGAAAUCUUACCCGGAGAGACAGCAGAAUGAAGGUCAAGCUGAAGACUUUACCAGACAAGCUGAGAGGUGGUGCAUGGCCGUCGCCAGCUCGUGCCGUGAGAUGUCCUGUUAAGUCAGGUAACGAGCGAGAUCCCUGCCUCUAGUUGCCACCAUUACUCUCAGGAGUAGUGGGGCGAAUUAGCGGGACCGCCGCAGUUAAUGCGGAGGAAGGAAGGGGCCACGGCAGGUCAGUAUGCCCCGAA